rnacentral:rRNA from 1 species
GGUGCCAGCCGCCGCGGUAACACCGGCACCCCGAGUGGUAGCCACUAUUAUUGGGCCUAAAGCGUUCGUAGCCGGUUUGGUAAAUUCUUGGGUAAAUCGUACCGCUCAACGGUGCGGAUUCCGGGGAGACUGCCAGGCUUGAGACCGGGGGAGAUCAGAGGUACUUGCGGGGGAGCGGUGAAAUGUUGUAAUCCCACAGGGACCACCAAUGGCGAAGGCAUCUGAUCAAAACGGCUCUGACGGUGAGGGACGAAACCCUGGGGCGCAAACGGGAUUAGAUACCCCGGUAGUCCAGGGCGUAAACGCUGCUGACUUGGUGUUGGGGGUCCCACGAGGGCGUCCAGUGCCGGCGCGAAGGCAUUUAGUCAGCCGCCUGGGGAGUACGGUCGCAAGACUGAAACUUAAAGGAAUUGGCGGGGGAGCACUGCAACGGGUGGAGCGUGCGGUUUAAUUGGAUUCAACGCCGGAAAACUCACCGGGGGCGACGAUUACAUGAAGGCCAGGCUGAUGACCUUGCCUGAUUUUUCGAGAGGAGGUGCAUGGCCGUCGCCAGUUCGUACCGUAAGGCGUUCUGUUAAGUCAGAUAACGAACGAGACCCUCAUUGCCAUUUGCUAGGCUCCUCUCCGGAGGGGUUGCACUAUGGCGAUACCGCCACUGCUGAAGUGGAGGAAGGAGGGGGCAACGGUAGGUCAGUAUGCCCCGAAUCUCCCGGGCUACACGCGCGCUACAAAGGGCAGGACAAUGGGCUUCGACACCGAAAGGUGGAGGCAAUCCCGAAACCUGCUCGUAAUUCGGAUUGAGGGCUGCAAUUCGCCCUCAUGAAGCUG